ensembl:lncRNA
GAGUCAAUGACAGCAGACAGGGCAACGUAGAGCAGACAGGAUCGUAGUCAGCGGGCAGGCAGGGGUCGGGGCAGGCAGAGAGCAAUCAACAGUACGGUCCGGGGUCACUAAACAGGGAUCAAGACUAGGAGAAAACGCUCAGAAAUGACAGCCGGGGCAGAAUCAGGACUUCGCAGUGAGUGUGUGGGUGUCAGUGGCUUUUGUGUGUGUGUCAAUGAGGUGCAGGUGUGUGUGUGUGUCAUCAGUGGUGUUGUGGAAUCAGUCCCAGGUGUGAAGCAUGAUGGGAGAUGGAGUUCGAAACCAGUUAGUACUCGGGAGAGGGGUCCCUCCGAUGGCGAGAGGGAGGCGGUGCGGGAGCGUCCUUCGUAACAGAGCCCCCCCCCUGUGAGCGGCUCCUGACGCGAAGAGAUACGCGGCGCCGAGGUCUUCCGCGGGAACGAGGGGCCGGCUUCUCCGGGUGUGCGCGAUGAAACUCCUCCGUGAGUGUGGGGCCAAGGAUGUCCUUAGCGUCGGCCCAGGAUCGCUCCUCCGGACCGAACCCCUCCCAGUCCACCAGAUAUUGGAGGGUCUUGCCCCGGCGUCUGGAGUCGAGCAGCUCAUGCACACGGUAAGCCUCCUCGCCGUCGACCAGGAUGGCGGGGGGAGGUUGUGACGUGGAUCUCUCCUCCCGCGCUCCUCUCGGGCCAUCGGCAGGUUUUAGCAGGGAGACAUGGAAUGUAGGGGAAAUACGGUAGUUGGCGGGUAGGUCUAAUCGAAAGGAUACAGGGGUAAUUUGCUUCUUAAUUUGAAAUGGACCCUCAUACCUGGGGCUGAGCUUGCGACAUGGGAGUCGAAGUCGGAGGUCUUUGGUGGAGAGCCAGACCCACUCUCCGGGACUGUACUGGGGACCAGGACGACGGCGACGGUUGGCCUGACCUUCCUGGCGUCUAACGGCGUGGAGGAGGUGAGUGUGGGCCUGGUUCCAAGUCUCCUCGCUUCUCUGCAACCACUCUGUAACGGAUGGUAGGUUAGUGGGCUCCCCUGACCACGGGAAUAGCGGUGGCUGAAAGCCCAAGACGCAUUGGAACGGGGUGAUGCCCGUGGCGGGUUUGACCAGCGAAUUCUGGGCGUAUUCGGCCCAGAAUAGAUAUCUGCUCCACUCCGUCUGUUGUCGCUGGCAGUAUGAGCGGAGGAAACGGAUAACGUCCUGGUUCAGACGCUCAGUCUGCCCAUUGGAUUGUGGGUGGUAACCGGAGGUGAGGCUGACGUUAACGUUGAGGCGUUGGAAGAAGGCGGACCAUACUCUGGAGGUGAAUUGGGGUCCCCGGUCUGACACUAUGUCCUCCGGUAGUCCGUAGAAACGGAAGACCUGGUUGCAGAGCAGUUCCGCAGUGGCUAGUGCUGUGGGAAGUUUGGGUAGUGGGACGAGUCGGCAGGCCUUGGAGAAUCGGUCUACGAUGGUGAGGAUGGUGGUAUGUCCCUGCGAUGCGGGUAGGUCGGUGAUGAAGUCUAUGGCAAUGUGGGACCAGGGUCGUUGGGGUAUGGGUAGUGGUGUUAGUAGGCCGGCUGGUAAUUGUCUGGGGGUUUUGGAGGUGGCGCAGUUUGCGCAGUUCUGCACGUGUCGGGUGGUGUCAGGAGUCAGAGUGGGCCACCAGAAGCGGUUCUUGAGGAGCUGAAUUGUGGCGGUGAUACCGGGGUGUCCGGAGCUUGGGGUCGAGUGCACCUGAUCGAGGAGUCGUGAACGUAGCGUCUCGGGGACAAAGAGGAGAUUUGCGGGACAUUCGGAGGGAGGUGCUUGACGAAGGUUCAGCUGCUCGAUCUCCGUGAUGAUGUCCCAUUGAACCGGCGCCACGAGCAAGCUUUCCGGGAUAAUGUUAUCCCUUGCAGUGGGUGGAACUCCCUCGGUCUGGCGAGAGAGGGCGUCGGCCUUCGUAUUCUUGGAGCCUGGUCGAUAGGUUACCGUGAACUGGAAUCUCGUGAAGAAGAGGGCCCAUCUGGCUUGCCGGGGUUCCAAACGUUUAGCGGAGCGAAGGUAUUCGAGAUUCUUGUGAUCGGUUAGAAUGAUGAAUGGCUGGUUCGCUCCCUCCAACCAGUGCCGCCACUCCUCGAGUGCCAGUUUCAUGGCCAGUAACUCACGAUUGCCCACAUCGUAGUUACGUUCGGCUGGGGUUAGUUUGCGAGAGAAGUAGGCGCAUGGGAACAUCCUGGCGGGUGUGCCUUGACGCUGGGAGAGAAUGGCCCCUACUCCGGUGUUGGAGGCGUCGACCUCCACUAUGAAUUGGAGCUCGGGGUUGGGGUGUCGCAGGAGGGGUGCUGAGGUGAACCGUGACCGUAGCUCGUCGAAGGCGUGUUGUGCCUCCUGGGACCAGUUGAUGCGGUGCG